AGGAUGACAAUAGAGAUGAUGGCCAUCUCCGGACUGAGCCACGGGAAGAGCCGCUGCAGCUGACCGCACUGACCAAUCAGCUGUGGACUGAAUGAGCCUCACCUGCCACUGGCCAAUGCUCUCCACUCGGAGUCCGAACGGCCUCUGCAGCCCGGUGCACAGCUUAAAGGCGUCGCUGCGGAUCUCAAUGAUGUUGUUGAUGAGCGCACACAUGGCCGCCAGAGGAAAGGCAGAGGAGAAGAGAACCACGUAGCCAAACUGGACAAACAUCUCCUGGUAGUCCUGGAAGGUGUCCUAAAAAACAGGUCUCGUGCCCCUCAGUCCGGAUCCAGGCACGGUCGGGUCCGUUGGCGAAGCCUGGACCUUCCCGGCCGCCAGCCGGGCGUAUUUGAGCAACACGGAGAGCAGCAGGUCCCACACGGCUCUCAUCGACAGCUCCCCCAGCUUGUGGCGCUCGUACAGAGAUGUGGUCGACCCUCGGCUCAGUGGAUGGGUUUUGAAGGUUAAAUGAAGACACAGAAGGACAUAGCCAUUAAAUUAAUUCAGCGCCCCAGUGACUGAGGAUGGAUUCAGGAAAGGAUUAGGAAAACACGGAAGACGGAUGGAGACAAUCUAAGACUCCAGAGAAGAAAAUCCUUCCAAGUCUCCACUGAAUGAAGAAGUCGGCGCUCCUGCUGCUGCGUUAGCUGACUGACAGCGACACAUAGUGUUCGUGACCCAUUCAAACACCCGGUGGUGCCACCUUCUUAGGAGGAUGACAUCAGCGUGCUCGUCCAGUCAGCUGCUGCCUGCUCAGGUUACCUCCUCCGACAGUGGAAAGGAGUUCUCAUGUGCUGCUGACAGCUCCACUGCAUCACUCUGCAGCAGUGCUGGCAUCGCACACGGAGGCCGUCUCUGCACCCUGCAUGCAGGAAAACAGUCCAGCCAAGGCUUCCCCUAACGAUGAGUUGACAGAUUCUCCCACCUGAGCUGUGAAUCUCUGCAGCUCCUCCAGAGUUAACACCAGCCUGCUAUUUUUAUCAUUUCCAAUAACCUGCAAAUUAAAGUGGACGGCCCUGUUUUGCCACUCUGUCAGGUUGACGGCCCUCCCCUUGGUAUCAUGGUUCACAACUCAGAGGCAAGUCCAGUUGGAGCAGAAUUUCUGCUUACUCACCAGCUCAGAGGGUUGAUAGCUGCAAGACUCUGCAGUGGGCCACAAACUCACAUCAGUGCACAUGAAGUCUGGACGCUGUGACUUUAUUCUGCGGCAUGCGCGAUUGUUGUGUGUUUAAACAAUGAUUAAAACAUUGUGAAUAACAGAGACUGAGGCAAGCCAAAACCAUAAAUAUCUAUGUAAGCAACACAAAACAAAGGAUUCAGCUUACAAUGAUUUUGAUUACAUUGAGGUCUAAGAAAACAGAAUACAAACACAUUCACUGCUUUCUAUUGUAGAUUUGGAAAUAUUCACCACAUUUAGUUCUGUCUGAUGAUUUCCAUUUGGUAUAAUGACUGACUUAUGUGAAUGAUGUUUCAUUCAUGAGGUCAUAUGCUUUUUGAAGGCUGCAGACAUGAGAAACUCCUUGCAAACUGAAUCAUUUACUUAGUCAUGUGCACCUCUUAUAUAUUUAUGUUUUUCAUGGUUCCUUUGUUGAACUGCACCAUCAAUCUAUCACUGAGGCUAAUUAAAGAAAACCUAACCUUGUCUUUUUGAUUGUCUAUUGUAUCAUUUAUGAUCUGUUUGAAC